AAAUGUUGAGUGCUUCUCUGGAUGCUUUGCAGUCAAUAGGAAUCCUCUGAGCAAGGAAAUAUGGCACUCUGGCUAAACUUUAUGUCUUUACUCCUAGUCCUCACAGGUGUCCAAUCUGAGAUCCAGUUAAUGGAGUCUGGAGGGGAUGUGAGAAGACCUGAAGAGUCCCUUCGUCUCUCCUGCCAAGCCUCUGGAUUCACCUUCAGCAGCUAUAGCAUGGGCUGGGUGAGACAGGCUCCAGGGAAAGGACUGGAAUGGGUGGCAUACAUCUAUCCUGAUUCCAGUCAAAAGUUCUACUCAGACAAAGUGAAGGGCCGCUUCACCAUCUCCAGAGACAAUGCCAAAAGCCAGAUGUAUCUGCAGAUGAACAGCCUCAAAGCUGAAGACACGGCAGUCUAUUACUGUGCCAGAGACACAGUGAGAGGAAGUGAAUCUGAAGCAAAGCAAAAACUGCCCAUUUCACAAAGCAGUUUUGUAAAUUUCUCUUACAUUAGAAAUACAGAUUCAUUAUUAGUAUUCUUCUCCCAGGUUUUAAUUUGA